CUGCGGGUGGUGCGCGGCAAGACCGCGGCGUUGUUCUCGGCGGCGACCGAGGUUGGCGGCAUCAUCGCCGGCGCGUCGGAAUCGCGCGUCGCGGC
rnacentral:tRNA from 1 species